rnacentral:RNase_P_RNA from 1 species
GUGGUUGGGUAACCGCUACAGCUUUUAGUUGUAGAGGAAAGUCCAUGCUCGCACAGGCUGAGAUGCCUGUAGUGUUCGUGCCUAGCGAAAAAAUAAGCUAGGGUAGCUUGGUUUUUAUGACGAGGCUAACGGCAGGGAACACACCUAAGUCCUUGUGAUAUGGUGUUACUACCUUGAAAGUGCCACAGUGACGUAGUCUUACAAGAAAUUGUAAGAGUGGAACGAGGUAAACCCCUCGAGCGAGAAACCCAAAUAAUGGUAGGGGCACCUUCUCUAAGGAAUCCAACAAUGAGAGGGACAGAUACUUUUAAGUUUCUGUAGACAGAUGGUUACCACCUGCGUACAAGGAGCGAUCCGUUUGCAGUACAAAGGAACAGAACAUGGCUUACAGAU